rnacentral:rRNA from 1 species
AGAGUUUGAUCAUGGCUCAGGAUGAACGCUAGCUACAGGCUUAACACAUGCAAGUCGAGGGGCAGCAUGGUCUUAGCUUGCUAAGGCCGAUGGCGACCGGCGCACGGGUGAGUAACACGUAUCCAACCUGCCGUCUACUCUUGGACAGCCUUCUGAAAGGAAGAUUAAUACAAGAUGGCAUCAUGAGUCCGCAUGUUCACAUGAUUAAAGGUAUUCCGGUAGACGAUGGGGAUGCGUUCCAUUAGAUAGUAGGCGGGGUAACGGCCCACCUAGUCUUCGAUGGAUAGGGGUUCUGAGAGGAAGGUCCCCCACAUUGGAACUGAGACACGGUCCAAACUCCUACGGGGCGCAGCAG